rnacentral:lncRNA from 12 species
AAGAAAUUGCCAUUUUCAUGGCUCUCAAUGCUGCCUUUAUAAAUGCAAUAUAUAAAAUAUAAUAAACACACAAUACAUCAAUGAAACAAUGACACAACCUCCCGGGGUGAGGAGCGAAUUUGUGCCGCAAAAUCCACGAUUCCCCCCCCCCCCCCCCCGGGGGGGGGGGGGGGGGGGGCGCCCCAAAAUGGGGUUGGGGGGGGUGAGGAUGGAGCCUUACCUUUCACAGCCAGGAAAACAAGGUGCCCGUGGAGCUGCGGAUGGUCAGCGCAUAACCGGAGCCCGGGGUGGGGAGAAGCCCUGCAGCAGCACCAGCACAGCCCUGCAACAAAGCCAAGCAGGAGGAGGAGGAGUUUGCAUCUGGAUGCUGCUUCCAGGGGAAGAGCACACUGAGGAGCUGGAGACAUCUUAGAAUCCCAGAAUGGUUUGGUUUGGAGUGACCCUAAAGUUCCACCCCCCUGCCAUGGCAGGGGCACCUGGGGGGGGGGGGGGGGGGGGGGGGGGGGGGGGGGGGGGGGGGGGGGGGGGGGG